rnacentral:rRNA from 1 species
CAUCCUCCAAGGCUAAAUACUCCUGACUGACCGAUAGUGAACCAGUACCGUGAGGGAAAGGCGAAAAGAACCCCGGCGAGGGGAGUGAAAAAGAACCUGAAACCGUGUACGUACAAGCAGUGGGAGCACAGGUUUACCUGUGUGACUGCGUACCUUUUGUAUAAUGGGUCAGCGACUUAUAUUCUGUAGCAAGGUUAACCGAAUAGGGGAGCCGGAGGGAAACCGAGUCUUAAUUGGGCGUUAAGUUGCAGGGUAUAGACCCGAAACCCGGUGAUCUAGCCAUGGGCAGGUUGAAGGUUGGGUAACACUAACUGGAGGACCGAACCGACUAAUGUUGAAAAAUUAGCGGAUGACCUGUGGCUGGGGGUGAAAGGCCAAUCAAACCGGGAGAUAGCUGGUUCUCCCCGAAAGCUAUUUAGGUAGCGCCUCGUGAAUUCAUCUCCGGGGGUAGAGCACUGUUUCGGCUAGGGGGCCAUCCCGGCUUACCAACCCGAUGCAAACUGCGAAUACCGGAGAAUGUUAUCACGGGAGACACACGGCGGGUGCUAACGUCCGUCGUGAAGAGGGAAACAACCCAGACCGCCAGCUAAGGUCCCAAAGUCAUGGUUAAGUGGGAAACGAUGUGGGAAGGCCCAGACAGCCAGGAUGUUGGCUUAGAAGCAGCCAUCAUUUAAAGAAAGCGUAAUAGCUCACUGGUCGAGUCGGCCUGCGCGGAAGAUGUAACGGGGCUAAACCAUGCACCGAAGCUGCGGCAGCGACGCUUAUGCGUUGUUGGGUAGGGGAGCGUUCUGUAAGCCUGUGAAGGUGUGUCGUGAGGCAUGCUGGAGGUAUCAGAAGUGCGAAUGCUGACAUAAGUAACGAUAAAGCGGGUGAAAAGCCCGCUCGCCGGAAGACCAAGGGUUCCUGUCCAACGUUAAUCGGGGCAGGGUGAGUCGACCCCUAAGGC